rnacentral:rRNA from 1 species
AGCGAACGCUGGCGGCGUGCCUAACACAUGCAAGUCGAACGUGAAAAGGGAAACCUGAGUAAAGUGGCGUACGGGUGAGUCACGCGUAGGUAAUCUACCCCAGAAUCUGGAAUAACCUGCCGAAAGGCGGGCUAAUACUGGAUAGAGCGAGGGAACUCGUAAGAGAGUUUUUCGGGAAAGGGAGCCCGCAAGGGCCUUCGUUCUGGGAUGAGCCUGCGUCUCAUUAGCUAGUUGGUAAGGUAACGGCUUACCAAGGCGAUGAUGAGUAGCUGGUCUGAGAGGAUGAUCAGCCACACUGGAAAUGAAACACGGUCCAGACUCCUACGGGAGGCAGCAGUGGGGAAUCUUGCGCAAUGGACGAAAGUCUGACGCAGCCACGCCGCGUGAGUGAAGAAGGCCGUCGGGUUGUAAAGCUCUGUCGGAUGGGACGAACAUCUUCAUAGUGAAUAGCUAUGAGGACUGACGGUACCAUCAAAGGAAGCACCGGCUAACUCCGUG